GAACCCCUGUGAGGGGAGUGAAAUAGAACCUGAAACCGUGUACGUACAAGCAGUAGGAGCACCUUCGUGGUGUGACUGCGUACCUUUUGUAUAAUGGGUCAGCGACUUAUAUUCAGUGGCAAGGUUAACCAUCUAGGGGAGCCGUAGGGAAACCGAGUCUUAACUGGGCGUUCAGUCUCUGGAUAUAGACCCGAAACCAGGUGAUCUAGCCAUGGGCAGGUUGAAGGUUGAGUAACAUCAACUGGAGGACCGAACCGACUAAUGUUGAAAAAUUAGCGGAUGACUUGUGGCUAGGGGUGAAAGGCCAAUCAAACCUGGAGAUAGCUGGUUCUCCCCGAAAGCUAUUUAGGUAGCGCCUCGGACGAAUACUACUGGGGGUAGAGCACUGUUAAGGCUAGGGGGUCAUCCCGACUUACCAACCCUUUGCAAACUCCGAAUACCAGUAAGUACUAUCCGGGAGACACACGGCGGGUGCUAACGUCCGUCGUGGAGAGGGAAACAACCCAGACCGCCAGCUAAGGUCCCAAAUUACUACUAAGUGGGAAACGAUGUGGGAAGGCUCAGACAGCCAGGAUGUUGGCUUAGAAGCAGCCAUCAUUUAAAGAAAGCGUAAUAGCUCACUG
rnacentral:rRNA from 1 species